ACAUGCCUACAACAUAGUGUUAAUGCAUUGGAUUCCAUUGGAACUCUACAGUUAAGCGUGUUUAGGCUAGAGUAGUACUGGGAUGGGUGACCUCCCGAGAAGUCCUAGUGUUUUACAUGCC
rnacentral:rRNA from 1 species